ensembl:lncRNA
AUGACACGACCCGUGCCACGACGACACGCUGUGGACUCAGCGGACUCAGACCUGUUCGAGCGGCAGGACGCAGCGCUCUCCAUUUGGGCGGAGAAGCUCAGGUGGAAACAGCGGCUCUUCUCAGAGAGGGACCAUGUCUUUGAGGGGACCCAUCUGGCUCUCGGCGGGCCUCGGGGACGCAGCCGUCCUCCACCUGCUGCCUUACCUGCAUUGGAGCAUUCGCCGCGGAGAGUGGGCGUCACAGGCCGAGCUUCGGCCGCUCGCUCUCCCGCCGCUCCGCUCCUCGCUCGCCCGCCAGCCGUUUUACUCACCGGCUCUUCCACUUCGCCACUGCACAGCGGCUACGCCUCCCACCUCGGCUCAACGGAGGCUCCCGUGCCAGAGGCUCGGCUGUGUACCCCGCCCGCUUCCUCUUCCCGGAGAAAGCGGCGCACACACCGCCAUAACAUGGACUAUUUUCAGCAACUCCCGGCGGUGAGUCCCAGUGACUGUUUGCCACCUUCCUCAUUUGAUUCUUCACAUAAAACGAAUAAUAGACUCAUCUCCGAUUCAUGGGGAACUUCCCUCUUAGACGAUGAUGUGGACUGGGAAGACUUUUUCUGCUCUGCUUCCCCAAAGACAGCUCAGUUAAAGACUGUAAAUAGUGGUGGCAGAAGGACCAGAACAAUCCCUGAUAGACCUGUCAGUCUCAUUCACCCAGUCCCCAUCUCCAUCCCUAUCAGUCAGCUCACAUCCACACCUGUGCCCGCUCCCAGGACGAGGGCAGCUGUGACCCAGCCUACCUCCACACCAGUUCCUGUUCCUCGGGUGGGGGUGACUGGUGUCCAGCCACCUUCCGUGCCUGUCCCAGCACCCAGGCUGAGGGCAACCAGAACCCAGACUGACCUCCCUAGAAGCGUGGAAGAGCUAGCCCCUCCACCUGUCAGUUCACCACUUCAUCCACCUCCUGAUCCAGCUUUUCACGCCCUCGCACUGUCCCUGGUUAGGCUAGCUGAGGUGUCCCCUGCCCAGGCACCUGCUUUACUAGCCCAGGCUGCAGUUUUAUCACCUUCAGUAAUUCAGUCUUUAGCUCAGCCAUUAGCCACACCAACCCCAGCUCAGCCCUUAGCCUCACCCACCUCUGUUCAUCCAUUACCCUCUCCAGUCCAGUCAGUCCAGCCUGCUCCAGUCCAGUCAGUCCAGCCUGCUCCAGUCCAGCCUGCUCCAGUCCAGUCAGUCCAGCCUGCUCCAGUCCAGUCAGUCCAGCCUGCCCCAGUCCAGCCAGUCCAGCCUGCUCCAGUCCAGUCAGUCCAGCCUGCUCCAGUCCAGUCAGUCCAGCCUGCCCCAGUCCAGCCAGUCCAGCCUGCUCCAGUCCAGCCUGCUCCAGUCCAGUCAGCUCCACUCCAGUCAGCUCCACUCCAGCCAGCCCAGUCGCCUGCACUCCAGUCAGUAGUCCAGUCUCCUCCUGUCCAGUCCCCUGUAGUUCAGUCUCCUCCUGUCCAGUCCCCUGUAGUUCAGUCUCCUGCCCUCCAGUCCCCUGUAGUUCAGUCUCCUCCUGCCCUCCAGGCCCCUGUAGUUCAGUCUCCCCCUGCCCUCCAGUCAGGCCAGUCGCCCCCUGUAGCUCAGUGCCCUGUUCUCCAGUUGCCUCCUGUCAUCCAGUCGCCCGUCCUCCAGCCUGUCCAGCCUGUCCAGUCAGUUCAGUCUGUCGUCCAGCAUCCUGUUGUUCAGUCAUCCGUUCUCUCGCUGUCUGUAGUCCACUCUCCUAAUCAGUCUCUAGCCCAGUCACUCAUUCACCACCCAUUCCAGUUCCCGGACCCGAAGCCGCAGCAUCCAGAGCCAGCUGUGAGCUCUCCCGGUCCUCAGCCAGGGGUUUCCACACCCGCUGGCCCGGCCGCUCCUCAGCCAGGGGUUUCCGCACCCGCUGGCCCGGCCGCUCCUCAGCCAGGGGUUUCCGCACCCGCUGGCCCGGCCGCUCCUCAGCCAGGGUUUCCGCACCCGCUGGCCCGGCCGCUCCUCAGCCAGGGGUUUCCGCACCCGCUGGCCCGGCCGCUCCUCAGCCAGGGGUUUCCGCACUCGCUGGCCCGGCCGCUCCUCAGCCAGGGGUUCCCGCACCCGCUGGCCCGGCUGCUCCUCAGCCAGGGGUUUCCGCACCCGCUGGCCCCGCCUGUCUCCAGCCAGAGGCCUCCGCGCCUGCUGGCCCCGCCUGUCUCCAGCCAGAGGCCUCCGCGCCUGCUGGCCCCGCCUGUCUCCAGCCAGAAGCCUCCGCGCCUACAGCUCCCAAGCCGUCGCCUGGUCCGGCCUCUGCUUCAGCUUCUGCUUCGCCUGGUCCGGCCUCUGCUUCGGCUUCUGCUUCGCCUGGUCCGGCCUCUGCUUCGGCUUCUGCUUCGCCUGGUCCGGCCUCUGCUUCGGCUUCUGCUCCGCCUGGUCCGGCCUCUGCUUCGGCUUCUGCGUCGCCUGGUCCGGCCUCUGCUUCAGCUUCGCCGUCGCCUGGUCCGGCCUCUGCUUCAGCUUCGCCGUCGCCUGGUCCGGCCUCGGCCUCAGCUUCGCCGUAGCCUGGUCCGGCCUCGGCCUCAGCCUCGGCUUCAGCUUUGCCUUCGCCUGGUCCAGCUUCUGCCACGCCGUCGCCCAAGCCACGUUCUGGACGUCAACGUCGGCGCUGUCUUCCUCGCGGCCGCCCACCGGACCUUCUCAGUGGCCGCCGCCGUCUUCCUCGCCGCCGCCCACCGGAUCGACUCCAGCGUCACCGCUGGCCACGUGGCCGCCCGCCUGACUUGUCUUUGUUUUGGACUCCGUCCCUCCGUCCUGGGCCCCCUCCGCCCUCCCUGUUCCGGUUUUUCGUUCUUUUGGCCGUCGGGUGCCGGCCUUUGA